rnacentral:rRNA from 1 species
GCCAACACUAGCUCCAAGCACAACCAACACUAAUAUCAAACCCACAUGUAUACCAAACCAUUAACCCAUAUUAAGUAUAGGCGAUAGAAAUCUUAACCUGGCGCUAUAGAUACAGUACCGUAAGGGAAAGACAAGAAAACCACCCAAGCACAAAACAGCAAGGACUAACCCCUGUACCUUUUGCAUAAUGAAUUAGCCAGAAACAAUUUCACAAAGAGAACUGAAGCCAAAUUCCCCGAAACCAGACGAGCUACCCAAAAACAGCUGAAAGAGCGCACCCGUCUAUGUGGCAAAAUAGUGGGAAGAUUUCUGGGUAGAGGUGACAAGCCUACCGAGCCUGGUGAUAGCUGGUUAUCCAAGAUAGAAUCUUAGUUCAGCCUUAAGUUUACCCACAGAAUAACCCAAUCCCAAUCCCUCUGUAAACUUAAUUGUUAGUCUAAAGAGGGACAGCUCUUUAGACACUAGGAAAAACCUUACAUAGAGAGUAAAAACCCCCGUCACCAUAGUUGGCCUAAAAGCAGCCAUCAAUUAAGAAAGCGUUCAAGCUCAACAUUAACCACCUAAAAAAUCCCAAACAUACUAUUGAACUCCUUAAAUCACAUUGGAUUAAUCUAUCACCCCAUAGAAGCAAUAAUGCUAGUAUAAGUAACAUGAACUCUCUCUCUCCCUACUGCAUAAGCCUAAACCAAACCAAAACCCCACUGAUACUUAACAGCCCAGUACUAACAAACUCAAACAAGUCCAUACUACUCUUACUGUUAAUCCAACACAGGCAUGCUUUUAAGGAAAGGUUAAAAAAAGUAAAAGGAACUCGGCAAACUUAGCCCCGCCUGUUUACCAAAAACAUCACCUCUAGCAUUACUAGUAUUAGAGGCACUGCCUGCCCAGUGACACACGUUUAACGGCCGCGGUACCCUGACCGUGCAAAGGUAGCAUAAUCACUUGUUCUUUAAAUAGGGACUCGCAUGAAUGGCAACACGAGGGUUCAGCUGUCUCUUACUUUUAACCAGUGAAAUUGACCUAUCCGUGAAGAGGCGGACAUGAAACAAUAAGACGAGAAGACCCCAUGGAGCUUCAAUUUACUAAUGUAGCUAAGAAUCGUAUAAAUCCUCGGACUCUAAAACUUCUAUGCCUACAUUAAAAAUUUUGGUUGGGGCGGCCUCGGAGCACAAACAAACCUCCGAGUGAUCCACGCCAAGGCCUCACAAGCCAAAGCGAACUAAUAUUCACAAUUGACCCAAUAAUUUGAUCAACGGAACAAGUUACCCUGGGGAUAACAGCGCAAUUCUAUUCUAGAGUCCAUAUCAACAAUAGAGUUUACGACCUCGAUGUUGGAUCAGGACAUCCUAAUGGUGCAGCAGCUAUCAAGGGUUCGUUUGUUCAACGAUUAAAGUCCUACGUGAUCUGAGUUCAGACCGGAGCAAUCCAGGUCGGUUUCUAUCUAUUCCACAUUUCUCCCUGUACGAAAGGACAAGAGAAAUAAGGCCCACUUCACAAAGCGCCUUCACCAUAUAAAUGACUUAGUCUUAAUUUACCAAAAUAUUACACACCCUACCCGAGAACAGGGUUU